UUUUUCCGCCGACCUAUGGUCUAUAUAAACUCUCCACCAGACCGCAGUUUCGUUUUCCCUUCCUCCUCUCGAAAUCCUACAUCAACGAAAUCUUAAUUCGUUGAUUUGACCACCAAAACUACCUCGAAUCGCUUCGGGUUCUACACGAAAGUUGUAUAUCUCGUCGAGAUCUUUCAAUCCCGACCAUUCUCAUCUCUUUUCAUCCACCAUACACGGAUAAUUUCGCAUCGCAAGGUGUCAGAUCUGACAAAGGGAAUCUUCAAUUAGUUCGUGCUCGUUCCACGAAAUCCAAAUUCAUUUGAUCUAUUUCGAGUCAACCGGAGCCAAAUCGAGUUUCAAAACGAUCUCGAAUCGUCAUGACCUCAACACGGAAGUUGUUCCUCUCGUCAAGAUCUUUCAAUUACCGCAAGUUUCACCUUGUUUCGUUCACCGAGGAAGGAGAAAAUCGUAUUGCAAGUUUCAGAUCUUAUAAGUUCGUACGGAGAUGCACGUAUUUUGAUUAAGAGAAGUGAACGCGCUUCGACUACCAAAAAGG